rnacentral:rRNA from 1 species
UGAGGGCCCUCUGGGUCCAACCUCCCACCCGUGUCUAUCGUACCUUGUUGCUUCGGCGGGCCCGCCGUUUCGACGGCCGCCGGGGAGGCCCUGCGCCCCCGGGCCCGCGCCCGCCGAAGACCCCAACAUGAACGCUGUUCUGAAAGUAUGCAGUCUGAGUUGAUUAUCGUAAUCAGUUAAAACUUUCAACAACGGAUCUCUUGGUUCCGGCAUCGAUGAAGAACGCAGCGAAAUGCGAUAAGUAAUGUGAAUUGCAGAAUUCAGUGAAUCAUCGAGUCUUUGAACGCACAUUGCGCCCCCUGGUAUUCCGGGGGGCAUGCCUGUCCGAGCGUCAUUGCUGCCCUCAAGCACGGCUUGUGUGUUGGGCCCCCGUCCCCCUCUCCCGGGGGACGGGCCCGAAAGGCAGCGGCGGCACCGCGUCCGGUCCUCGAGCGUAUGGGGCUUUGUCACCUGCUCUGUAGGCCCGGCCGGCGCCAGCCGACACCCAACUUUAUUUUUCUAAGGUUGACCUCGGAUCAGGUAGGG